rnacentral:ncRNA from 1 species
AUAAAAGUAAUGAUGGGAAGAGUAAGUUUGGUAUUCUAACUAUAGAGAGCCAGGUUAGGUGGAAGCUGGUGUUAGAAUCUAGGCUGAAGAUGGCCCCUGAACUGUGUAGCUGAACCUAUAGUAGGCUAUGCCGGAUUUGUAUCCGUUAUGAGUACAAGGUUAUGAUAGUAACCUAUUGAGGUCUAAACUGUGAAGUUUAGAUGAAGUAGAGUGGUAACGCGGAGAGUACACCUUCGUCUCUAUA